CCUACGGGUGGCAGCAGUGAGGAAUAUUGGUCAAUGGCCGGAAGGCUGAACCAGCCACGCCGCGUGAAGGACGAAGGUGCCAAGCAUUGUAAACUUCUUUUGUCAAGGGACAAAAUCAGGCUCGAGAGCCUGACCGAGGGUACUUGAAGAAAAAGCAUCGGCUAACCCCGUGCCAGCAGCCGCGGUAAUAUGGGGGAUGCGAGCGUUAUCGGGAUUGCUUGGGUUGAGAGGGUGCGUAGGCGGACUGUUGAGUCAGCGGUAAAAGCGCGGGGCACAACCCCGGCGAGCCGUGGAAACUGGCUGUCUUGAGAUGUCGAGGGGUAGGCGGAAUGCGCAGUGUAGCGGUGAAAUGCUUAGAUAUUGCGCAGAACUCCGAUUGCGAAGGCAGCAUACCGGCGGCGAUCUGACGCUGAGGCACGAAAGCGUGGGUAUCGAACAGGAUUAGAUACCCGGGUAGUC
rnacentral:rRNA from 1 species